UACAGAGGGGGCAAGCGUUAUUCGGAAUUAUUGGGCGUAAAGGGCGCGUAGGCGGCUUGGCAAGUGGAUGGUGAAAUCCCUCGGCUUAACCGAGGAACUGCCGUCCAAACUGCUUCGCUUGAGACCGGGAGAGGUGAGUGGAAUUCCCAGUGUAGCGGUGAAAUGCGUAGAUAUUGGGAGGAACACCAGUGGCGAAGGCGGCUCACUGGACCGGUACUGACGCUGAGGCGCGAAAGCGUGGGGAGCAAACGGGG
rnacentral:rRNA from 1 species